GUGUGUGAAGGGGUUUAGGGAGUGAGCUACUAAGACAGUGUGUGUGUGAAGGGGUUUAGGGAGUGAGCUACUAAGUCAGUGUGUGUGUGUGUGAAGGGGGGUUUCGGGAGUGAGCUACUAAGUCAGUGUGUGUGUGAAGGGGUUUAGGGGUGAGCUACUACGUUAGUGUGUGUGUGAAGGGGUUUAGGGGUGAGCUACUAAGACAGUGUGUGUGCGAAGGGGUUUAGGGGUGAGCUACUAAGUCAGUGUGUGUGUGAAGGGGUUUAGGGGUGAGCUACUAAGUCAGUGUGUGUGUGAAGGGGUUUAGGGGGUGAGCUACUAAGUCAGUGUGUGUGUGUGAAGGGGUUUAGGGGUGAGCUACUAAGUCAGUGUGUGUGUGAAGGGGUUUAGGGGUGAGCUACUAAGUCAGUGUGUGUGUGAAGGGGUUUAGGGAGUGAGCUACUAAGUCAGUGUGUGUGUGUGAAGGGGUGUAGGGAGUGAGCUACUAAGUCAGUGUGUGAAGGGGUUUAGGGAGUGAGCUACUAAGUCAGUGUGUGUGUGAAGGGGUUUAGGGGUGAGCUACUACGUUAGUGUGUGUGUGAAGGGGUUUAGGGAGUGAGCUACUAAGUCAGUGUGUGUGUGUGAAGGGGUUUAGGGAGUGAGCUACUAAGACAGUGUGUGUGUGAAGGGGUUUAGGGGUGAGCUACUAAGACAGUGUGUGUGUGAAGGGGUUUAGGGAGUGAGUUACUAAGUCAGUGUGUGUGUGAAGGGGUUUAGGGAGUGAGUUACUAAGUCAGUGUGUGUGUGAAGGGGUUUAGGGAGUGAGCUACUAAGUCAGUGUGUGUGUGUGUGUGAAGGGGUUUAGGGAGUGAUUUAGGGAGUGAGCUACUAAAUCAGUGUGUGUGGUACUUUCAUUAUGCGUUUACAAUAAUUCUAAUUCAAGGCCAUCAAUAAUUACUAAAACCAGACCUUAAUGUAACAAUAUUAAUGGACAAAUCAACUACCACCUAUACUGAGAUUUGAUGACUGGGUCAGAGAAGGGGGCACUAAAAGGAAUUACCUUUAGGUUAGAUUGAACACAAAUUCUAUCAAACCAAGAGCGGGGACAGCAGUAAGAUAGCAUUUUACACUAACUAGUCUGGAUCCCAAACACAAGGUUAGUCUAAAGUGGCUAAAUCAAAUUAUACUCUUUAAUUAGAAAGUAUUUUAUUAAAUUCCCAACUACAACCAACUGGUAUUGUAAGGCAUUCAGAUGUUCUAUUUCAAUGUCUAUAAUGUAAGGUCUAUAAUGUAAUCAAUCUUGCUUCAAAAAUAGGUA
rnacentral:lncRNA from 1 species